ACGAACGCUGGCGGCGUGGAUAAGACAUGCAAGUCGAACGGGAGAAUUGCUAGCUUGCUAAUAAUUCUCUAGUGGCGCACGGGUGAGUAACACGUGAGUAACCUGCCUCUUAGUGGGGGAUAGCCCUGGGAAACCGGGAUUAAUACCGCAUACGAUUGAAAGAUCAAAGCAGCAAUGCGCUAGGAGAUGGGCUCGCGGCCUAUUAGUUAGUUGGUGAGGUAACGGCUCACCAAGGCGAUGACGGGUAGCCGGUCUGAGAGGAUGUCCGGCCACACUGGAACUGAGACACGGUCCAGACACCUACGGGUGGCAGCAGUCGAGAAUCAUUCACAAUGGGGGCAACCCUGAUGGUGCGACGCCGCGUGGGGGAAUGAAGGUCUUCGGAUUGUAAACCCCUGUCAUGUGGGAGCAAAUUAAAAAGAUAGUACCACAAGAGGAAGAGACGGCUAACUCUGUGCCAGCAGCCGCGGUAAUACAGAGGUCUCAAGCGUUGUUCGGAAUCACUGGGCGUAAAGCGUGCGUAGGCUGUUUCGUAAGUCGUGUGUGAAAGGCAGGGGCUCAACCCCUGGAUUGCACAUGAUACUGCGAGACUAGAGUAAUGGAGGGGGAACCGGAAUUCUCGGUGUAGCAGUGAAAUGCGUAGAUAUCGAGAGGAACACUCGUGGCGAAGGCGGGUUCCUGGACAUUAACUGACGCUGAGGCACGAAGGCCAGGGGAGCGAAAGGGAUUAGAUACCCCUGUAGUCCUGGCAGUAAACGGUGCACGCUUGGUGUGCGGGGAAUCGACCCCCUGCGUGCCGGAGCUAACGCGUUAAGCGUGCCGCCUGGGGAGUACGGUCGCAAGAUUAAAACUCAAAGAAAUUGACGGGGACCCGCACAAGCGGUGGAGUAUGUGGCUUAAUUCGAUGCAACGCGAAGAACCUUACCUGGGCUUGACAUGUAAUGAACAACAUGUGAAAGCAUGCGACUCUUCGGAGGCGUUACACAGGUGCUGCAUGGCCGUCGUCAGCUCGUGUCGUGAGAUGUUUGGUUAAGUCCAGCAACGAGCGCAACCCCUGUUGCCAGUUACCAGCACGUCAAGGUGGGGACUCUGGCGAGACUGCCCAGAUCAACUGGGAGGAAGGUGGGGACGACGUCAGGUCAGUAUGGCCCUUAUGCCCAGGGCUGCACACGUACUACAAUGCCCAGUACAGAGGGGGCCGAAGCCACGAGGCGGAGGAAAUCCUGAAAACUGGGCCCAGUUCGGACUGUAGGCUGCAACCCGCCUACACGAAGCCGGAAUCGCUAGUAAUGGCGCAUCAGCUACGGCGCCGUGAAUACGUUCCCGGGUCUUGUACACACCGCCCGUCACAUCAUGGAAGCCGGUCGCACCCGAAGUAUCUGAAGCCAACCGCAAGGAGGCAGGGUCCUAAGGUGAGACUGGUAACUGGGAUG
rnacentral:rRNA from 1 species